GGGCCUGUAGCUCAGUUGGCCAGAGCGCAUCAUUUGCAAUGAUGAGGUCACCGGUUCGAAGCCGGUCAGGUCCACAA
rnacentral:tRNA from 1 species